rnacentral:rRNA from 1 species
CACACCGCCCGUCACGCCAUGGAAGUUGGUUCUACCUGAAGACAGUUCGCUAACCGCAAGGGAGCAGCUGGCUACGGUAGGGUCAAUGACUGGGGCG